rnacentral:rRNA from 1 species
AUGAGGGCCUUCUUCGUGGCGAUGCUGGUGUUGUGGGCCGUGUCGACGGGGUUCGAGAUUGGGUCCUGGGGCCGACGCGAGCUGGUGGACAUGCCCGCCGGCUUCGCCUUCUUCCAGGCCGCCAACACCGCUGUCUCCCGCGACCCGCUCUUCGUCAACACUGCCGUCUCGCUCCUCCACUCUUCCCUCACCUCCACCUCAGCAUAUUCUGCUAAGUGCUUUUCAUGUGGCUACUUUGCUUAUGACCAAUUGGAUAUGAUCUGCUACCAGCUAUACAGUGGAUGGAUUCCUGGAAUUCUCAUGCAUCACGUUAUUCUGCUCAUUUGCUUUAUGCUGGCUCUGUAUCGGAAUGAGACAAUCAACUACCUGAUUCUCACUCUUCUGUGCGAGUUGGAUUGGAGCAUAUUCUGCUUUGUGCUUUUCGUGUGGCCACGUUGCUUAUGGCCAAUUGGAUAUGCUCCGCUACUGACUAUACAGUGGAUGGAUUCCUGGAAUUCUGCUGCAUCACCUUAUUCUGCUCAUUUGCUUUACGCUAGUUCUGUAUCGGCAUGUGACAAUCAACUACUUAAUUCUCACUCUUCUAUGCGAGGUACAUAUGUCUCUUCUCAUAUCUUCUGGCAUUUAAUUUUGUUGGCAAAGUUGGUUACUUGGUCACUUCAAAUAGUUUUUUGUCUUAUCAUUUGCCGUGGGGCUAUUAUUUACCCAGUUGUCAUUUGA